GGAGGGUAACGCCGGAAGGUACCGGCAGCGGUGUCGAAUACCGUGUGGGUAGCCAAUCCCAGGAGUUCAAGUCUUCUGCCCUUCG
rnacentral:tRNA from 1 species